GGAGGCAUCACACACGUCUUUAGAAGAAUCAGACUUCCUACCUUGAAAAGACAGAUGGAGAGCUGGGGACUUAACCUAGGGACUCUCACGUGGUAGCAUAGUUUCUAUGGAAAUACAGAUGGAGUCUAGAAGAUGACAACAGAUGUCUGCAGAUUCAACCACGGAGUCCAACCAAUUGAACCUGUUAUACCAAGUAUGCUGUUUUUACUAGAGUAAGGACUAACAUGGCCUAAGGCACAUGGUAUAUUACCACUGAGUUGGAGCCUACGUUCUUAAUAGCCCCAUCAAGAAGGAAGAGCAAAAGCAAGUUGAAUUCUCCCAAGGUAAACUCAAUAUGAUUACUACUGGCAUAAUUUCAACUGACUUCUAUGAAGAAGAUUUCACUGUCACCUGAAGUCACAGCCUGGAGCUGUCAUUAUGGAAAGCCCCCAAAAGGAGCUUGGAAUAUCUUGGGAGGAUUUCUUAAAUCGUAUGA